rnacentral:rRNA from 1 species
GACGAACGCUGGCGGCGUGCUUAACACAUGCAAGUCGAACGAUGAAGCUAGAGCUUGCUCUGGUGAAUUAGUGGCGAACGGGUGAGUAACACGUGAGUAACCUGCCCCGAACUCUGGGAUAACUGCUGGAAACGGUAGCUAAUACUGGAUACGACCUACGAAGGCAUCUUCUGUAGGUGGAAAGAAUUUCGGUUCGGGAUGGACUCGCGGCCUAUCAGCUUGUUGGUGAGGUAAUGGCUCACCAAGGCGACGACGGGUAGCCGGCCUGAGAGGGUGACCGGCCACACUGGGACUGAGACACGGCCCAGACUCCUACGGGAGGCAGCAGUGGGGAAUAUUGCACAAUGGGCGCAAGCCUGAUGCAGCAACGCCGCGUGAGGGAUGACGGCCUUCGGGUUGUAAACCCCUUUCAGCACCGACGAAGCGCAAGUGACGGUAGGUGCAGAAGAAGGACCAGCCAACUACGUGCCAGCCGCCGCGGUAA